AAUCUGUGCUCUAGUGGGUGUGGCUAACAACCCAAGGGAUGCACCUCAAUGGCCCCCACCGUAUGAGCAUGCCUGGACCAGCUCAGAACAAUGGCCCCCACCAAUGUCUCAGUCUACGGAGAGGACCCUCCUCUCACCAAGAUGCCCCCAAAGCCCACCAGGCAUUAUGGCUUCAGCUUUUGCUGUCUUGGAACCCUGAGACCACCGUGGUGUGAAAGAGUCCAGGAUGAAAAACCAAAGACGGAGAGAGUCCCAGACAUCCUAACUGAGACUCCAGAUGCGUGAAAAAGGCCAUCUUAGACCAUCCCGUCACGAUGAAGGCAAAUAAAUUCUAGUCUCAAGAUUUACUUCUGGGGAAGCCACAUCAAGACAUCUACUUAAGAUGUCCCCGUCCCUCACGUGUCAAUUCCAAUCUAGUCCCACAUGCCUUCAAUUUUAGACUCUAAACAUCUCCUGAAUCCUUUUAUAUUUCUUUUACUUUCGACCUACUUAUGUUGUAUUUGAAGUGAGUUUCUUACAGAAGCGUAUUAUUGGACUGUGUUUUUUUCUUGUUGUUGUCUUGUUUGUUGUCUAGUCUGUCAGUGUCUGGUUUUUAAUUAGUGUAUUUAAACCAUUUAUCACUUUUGAUAUGUUAGGAAUUAAGUUUCCACAUUUUAUUAUUUGUUGUUUGUUUUCAUUCCUCUUUCUUUUAUUAUCUUUCUGUGAGUUACUUGAACAUUUCUGAGGGCAACAUCUUGGUUUACUUAUAGUGUUGAUUAGUACAUUGCUUUGUAUAAUUUCUCAGUUAUUGUUCAGAUAAGACAAUAUACAUACAUCCCUUAUCACAAUCUACUGUUAUUGAUAUUUCACUACUUUGAGUGAAAUGUCAGAGACUUAUUUCCAUUCAGGUUCCUUUACCCUCCCCACCAUUAAAAUAUAAUUGUCUCAAGUGUUUCCUCUAUAUUCAUUGAGCAUCACAUCAGAUAGUGUUACAGUUUUUAUUUCAACCAUCAAAUAUGAUUUAAGAAACUCAUUAGAAGUAAUAUAGUCUAUUACAUUAGCCCUCAUUUUCACCCCUUCUGGUGUUCUUUUUGUUCUGAUGUUUCCGGUCUUCUUCUGUUAUUUCCUUUAUUUUUGGAGAACUUCAUUUUGCCAUUCUUUAAGGGCAGACUUUUUGGAAAAAAAUUCUACUCAUUUUCUUUUUCUUAGAAUUUUCCUAUUCCCCCUUCAUUCCUGAAAGAUAUUUUGAGCAGAUAUACAAUUUUCUUUUGUUAAUUUGCCGUUUUUCAGCUAUACUGAGGUAUAAUUGACAAAUAAAAUUAAAAUAUAUUUAAAGUGAACAACAGAAUGGUUUGAUAGAUGUAUACGUUAUGAAAGGAUUCUCACAACUGAUUUACAAUUCUCAAUUGAAAGAAAAUUUCAGUAG
rnacentral:lncRNA from 1 species